rnacentral:rRNA from 1 species
AUGAAGCAGCAAGCUGACAAGAAGCAUUCGUUCCGGGUGUUUGAAGUGGGCGAUCUUGUCUACUUGAAGCUACAGCCGUAUAUUCAGACUUCUGUCGCCCCGCGGGCUUGUCACAAGCUCUCCUUUCGGUUCUUCGGCCCUUACAAGAUCAUCGCUCGAGUGAAUGAUGUUGCCUACAAGCUGCUUCUGCCGAAGCAUGCACAAGUGCACCCGGUCUUUCAUGUGUCACAACUCCGAAAGGCUCUUGUUCCAGGUAUGGAGGUUUCUGAAGAUCUUCCUGUUCAUUCUAACAUUCCUGUUGUACCUGUGAAGAUGCUCGAGCAGCGCUGGCGACGUCGAAGGGGGGCCAUGGUGGAGCAAGUCCUUGUUCGUUGGUCCAACCCAGCAGUGGUGCCUGAUUCAUGGGAGGACCAUGCAGCGCUCCAAGCUCGAUUCCCAGCGGCUGAGGCUUGGGGGCAAGCCUCGACACAAGAAAGGGGGGAUGUCAGCACCCCUGGCCCACAUGGCAGUGACGACCAGCGCUCGCCUAUGCUUCCCAGGCCGGUGCGGGCUCGCAAGGCCAACAUGAGAGUAGUUGGGCCCGAGUGGGUGUAA